rnacentral:rRNA from 1 species
UACGUAGGGUGCGAGCGUUAAUCGGAAUUACUGGGCGUAAAGUGUGCGCUAGGCGGCCGCGCCAAGGUCGAGUCGUGAAAUCCCGAGCUUAACUUGGGAAUUGCGCGUCGAAAACUACGGUGGCUGGAGUGUGGCAGAGGAAGGUGGAAUUCCACGUGUAGCGGUAGAAAUGCGUAGAGAGUGGGGAGAACACUCGUGGCGAAGGCGGCCAGCUAGGACCAAGUUCGUGACACUGAGGCGCGACAGCGUGGGGAGCAAACAGG